rnacentral:tRNA from 2 species
CGGGGCGUAGCGCAGCCUGGAAGCGCACUUGCAUGGGGUGCAAGGAGUCGCAGGUUCAAAUCCUGCCGCCCCGACCA